ensembl:lncRNA
ACUUCUUGACUAUAAUCUCUAUACUGCUUAAUGAUUGAGAAUGAUCUGCAAAACUUAAUAAAACAUAAUAAAAAUAAGCAAAAUGUUUGAUCAUUAAACAGAUUCAAGCCACACUUUUACACUCUUGUCAGUUCAAAAACAGGCCUGAAGAAUUGAAGGCCUUCCUCUUACUGAGCUGCCUUCAGUUGGAAUCAGCUGUGUCCCUUUUACCUCUUAUUGAUGCAUGAGUUCCAUGUGGGAGCAUAAAAUGUCUUUAAGAUAGAGGUUUGGCCAUUUGUCUUCUUUUCUCUCUCUUAAAAGCAACAGUGACUGCUUAGACAGUGGGCUGGUCCUUGUGUUGAAUUAUUUGGUGCUUGCAAGUGGCCAGCUGCAAGGCUAACAGAACCUUUUUAAAAUGCUCACUAUCUUGGAAGUCUCCAAAGGUCUGGGUCAGCUUGAAGCUUACAUUCGUGUAGAGGAAGGAGUGGCUUUCCAGAUGGACAACUAUUUGUUCUGGGAUUCUCUGCCUCACGCUGCCAUUGAGGGAACAUCUGAAAAGAAGGAGUCAAGCAAAUUUCAAGUCAUCCGUGCAUCACUUGGAAAAGUUAUGUUGAGAAACUGGAAGGGCAUCUGCUUGGCCCCAGUGGAAGUAGGAACAGAUCUCAAAACCUUCCCUGUCCUACCUGUCCAGUAUUCAGAAGAUCCUUCUCUGCAAUUUGAUGUGUUCCACCAAGGCAAUAAAAUAGCUUUUCAGGCCUCUAAUGGCCUCUUCUUGGCAAGAAUAUAUAGAAAAUCCCAUGUGCUAGAAGCAGCCACAUUUCCUCCUGAUGAUACAUGCCUUUUCCGGCCUCUGAUAGGAGAUCUUCUUCUCCCUACUAUUGAAAUACUGUCUGUGAACUUCAAAGACUUCUCACAAAUGAAAUGUCGCCGCCAUCUCUUGCACAGACAGACCUAUGUCAACCAGAGUAAGGCACCCAUUCAACACACUUUCACCAUGGACUGGGAUACUCACUGUACUGACAGAGUAAUCUGGAACCAUCUAUGGGGCCUUGGUUUGCCCUCUUCAUGUUCUUUUACUGUUGAGGAUGUGACACCCACUGUGAAGUACACAGAGGACAAUGAGUAUGUUGUCUCUGUGAGCAGGCACAUUUCUGAGAAAGUAACUAAAGAAGUGGUAGUGCCUCCCAGGUCCAAAGCCACAGCUAACCUUUGGGUAAAAAAGGACAAUGAUGCUGCUUUGCCGUUCACAGCCUUCAUUGGAAAAGUGAAACCUGGUGGGGAUGUGAUAUCCUUCAAUGAAGGUGGGGUCUGGACUGGUCUUGUCUAUUGUGAUCUCCACAUAGAGGUCACUCAGGAGAGACUUCACAAAUUGUGCACAAUUAUGUGAAACUACAGAAUACUGGUGGCCUUUCAAAGGACGUUGUGUACCAGUAUUUCAAUGACUCACUCCUGGUGGAAUGGCACUGUUAAUACUCUCCCUUAUCUUGAUCUGCCCACCCUCUUUCAGGACUGGGUUGCUCUGAGGACUGAGUCCUUUUAAGUUAAGAAGGACAAAUAUGUAAUACUUCCAACAAAACGUCCUUUCCACCUUUCAGGUGCCUGAAGCCCAAUACACGAUGGCUAUUUUUUUAUGGCUACCUUUUUAUAGUAAGAUGGCAAGCACUCGUCACCUUGAAGCACAGUCAAGAGAACAUAAAUAAAAUGGUGAAGUCUUUUUUCUGCCUUUCCUUUUUCUUGAAAAAAAUCUUGUCUUUGUUUGAAUCUACAGAUCAUGGGGAAUAGCAGGGGUGCCAUGCUACUUAGAAGAGAUGAGAAAGUUCCAUGUUCUUAGGACCACUUCAGGAUUAAAUAUUAGGGCUGUGCAAAAUUUUAUUUUUCGUUUGUAAUUCAUUAUAUUUGAAUUACAAAAAGCAAUAUUAAACAUAAGGGCCCCCUCAUGCAAAAAAACUAAGAUUCAAAACACUGACACAUGAUUUUCAGAUGAGUUUUGUAAUUCUCAUUAAUGGCUCCAGGUCUCUGUCAUGGGUGCCGCUUCUCCCCCAAAAGGGCUGGGUUUGGUUCCCCCAAAGGGCCCGAGGAGGAUGGCGAGGCCAGAGUGGAGAAAUCAGUCCUGCUGGCACAAGGCUUUAACCCACUGCACCACCAGGGGCUCCUGGUGAUCUUCAUGAUCUUGAUCUAAAUGAUCUUGGGCAAGUCACACACUCUCAGCCUCAGAAGUUAAAGCAAGCCUCCACUGAACAUAUCUUGUCAAUAAUUCCCCAAGAUAGGGCUGCCAUGUCAGAAGUGAUUUGAAGGCACACAACAACAGCAAAAGCAAAGCUUGUUAAAAUUCGAAGAUGUUUUCAGCUACUGGUUAUACAUCUACAUCUACCUUUUGCUCCUUCUCUCAGUCUCAAUCAAUAUCUGUUUGAAGAGUGAGACUCUGUGCUUCCUUUGAAGCUGCUUCGAACUCUUUGAAAUGAUAUCUUUUGCUCCCUCCAAUUGCCAUUGACUAAUGCAAAGGUAUCCUCUUCCACUUGAAGAGGAUGUGAGCAAAGAGGAUCUUUAAUUAAUAUUGCGCCCCAAAUAAGAUCUUUUUUUGCAGAAUGGGCACUAUAUGUAAUAGGUAAAAGCACAUCUUAUUAUAUUAACCAUGAUGGUAGUUUACCAUUAUUUUCACAAACAGCAAAUGAACACUUGCAUCAUAAAAGUCAUCCAUCUAUGAAGAGUAUUAUCGUAUGUUAUCCAUGGUCAGAAUAGUUUUAGCUUAAGGGAUGGGAAUUUGAUGAGGGGCCUUGUACAAUGAAGGAAGCAAUGGGAUUUGGCAUUAAAUAUAAAGUUUACAGGUUUUUUUUAAGUAAUUCUCAAUUUCUUAGAGGAGAAGCUAUUUUUGUCAAGAUAAGCCUUUCAUAGCUUUUGCGAAUAGUAUAGGCGACAUCCCAAGUACAUUAAGUUUCAGCAUUAAUAUCAGAAAGAUUUGGCAUCUCUGAUUCCUUCCUUUUUGUAAAAAGAAUAAUUCAAUGGAAAAGCAGAAAUUAAUUUUUUCACUACAAAUGAAAAAUGUAACUAUCUUUGAGAUUUUUUCCAAAUACAAUCUGUUUUGUCAUCUGCAGAUAUAUUUGCGGUUAUCCUUUCAUAUUAUGUUUAUCCUUACAGAUUGGGUGUUUCAUGUGCUGAUACUGCUAAUAAACUAACGAAGCUAAUGAUAACAAUGUACUAAUGUCUGUAUGUGUAUUAAACCCAGUGUUGCCACUUCAGCACAUUUACUAAAUUCCACCAAGUCCUACAAUUAAAAUCUGGUAAGCCACUGUGUUCAUCACAUUAGGAUAGGUUCAAGUGUAGGGUAGAACAUUCUUUCCAUAUUUUAAGUGUGAGAGCCAGGAUUCUUUUCAAACAUUUCGGGAGGUGGUGGGGAAGUGGGUUUUUGGGGAAUGAGCCAAAUAAAUGGCCACUUCUGUAAUGUGAUGGCAUUUGUUGCUCUCAGGA